AAUUAUCUUUUAUAUUCCGUAGACAGCAGGUGGCAGACGCCAUAAAUCCUGCCGAGGAUGAUAUGAUUAUGUAUAAUUAUGUCCCUCGCAUGUCUGCGAGGGAUUUUUUUA
rnacentral:sRNA from 1 species